AUUGAACGCUGGCGGCGGGCCUAACACAUGCAAGUCGAGCGGGGUUUUCGGACCUAGCGGCGGACGGGUGAGUAAUGCGUAGGAAGCUGCCCGAUAGAGGGGGAUACCAGUUGGAAACGACUGUUAAUACCGCAUAAUGUCUACGGACCAAAGUGUGGGACCUUCGGGCCACAUGCUAUCGGAUGCGCCUACGUGGGAUUAGCUAGUUGGUGAGGUAAUGGCUCACCAAGGCAACGAUCGCUAGCUGGUGUGAGAGGAUGAUCAGCCACACUGGAACUGAGACACGGUCCAGACUACUAAGGGAGGCAGCAGUGGGGAAUAUUGGACAAUGGGCGCAAGCCUGAUCCAGUCAUGCCGCGUGUGUGAAGAAGGUCUUCGGAUUGUAAAGCACUUUAAGUUGGGAGGAAGGGCAGUAAGUUAAUACCUUGCUGUUUUGACGUUACCGACAGAAUAAGCACCGGCUAACUCUGUGCCAGCAGCCGCAGUAACAC
rnacentral:rRNA from 1 species